CCGACGGUGAGAGGUGAAAGCUGGGGGAGCAAACCGGAUUAGAUACCCGGGUAGUCCCAGCUGUAAACUAUGCAAACUCAGUGAUGCAUUGGCUUGUGGCCAAUGCAGUGCUGCAGGGAAGCCGUUAAGUUUGCCGCCUGGGAAGUACGUACGCAAGUAUGAAACUUAAAGGAAUUGGCGGGGGAGCACCACAAGGGGUGAAGCCUGCGGUUCAAUUGGAGUCAACGCCAGAAAUCUUACCCGGAGAGACAGCAGAAUGAAGGUCAAGCUGAAGACUUUACCAGACAAGCUGAGAGGUGGUGCAUGGCCGUCGCCAGCUCGUGCCGUGAGAUGUCCUGUUAAGUCAGGUAACGAGCGAGAUCCCUGCCUCUAGUUGCCACCAUUACUCUCAGGAGUAGUGGGGCGAAUUAGCGGGACCGCCGCAGUUAAUGCGGAGGAAGGAAGGGGCCACGGCAGGUCAGUAUGCCCCGAAACUCUGGGGCCACACGCGGGCUGCAAUGGUAACGACAAUGAGUUCCGAAAUCGAAAGAUGGAGGUAAUCCCUAAACGUUACCACAGUUAUGAUUGAGGGCUGCAACUCGCCCUCAUGAAUAUGGAAUCCCUAGUAACCGCGUGUCAUUAUCGCGCAGUGAAUACGUCCCUGCUCCUUGUACUCACCGCCCGU
rnacentral:rRNA from 1 species